rnacentral:rRNA from 1 species
CACACUAUCAUUAACUGAAUCCAUAGGUUAAUGAGGCGAACCGGGGGAACUGAAACAUCUAAGUACCCCGAGGAAAAGAAAUCAACCGAGAUUCCCCCAGUAGCGGCGAGCGAACGGGGAGCAGCCCAGAGCCUGAAUCAGUGUGUGUGUUAGUGGAAGCGUCUGGAAAGGCGCGCGAUACAGGGUGACAGCCCCGUACACAAAAAUGCACAUGCUGUGAGCUCGAUGAGUAGGGCGGGACACGUGGUAUCCUGUCUGAAUAUGGGGGGACCAUCCUCCAAGGCUAAAUACUCCUGACUGACCGAUAGUGAACCAGUACCGUGAGGGAAAGGCGAAAAGAACCCCGGCGAGGGGAGUGAAAAAGAACCUGAAACCGUGUACGUACAAGCAGUGGGAGCACGCUUCGGCGUGUGACUGCGUACCUUUUGUAUAAUGGGUCAGCGACUUAUAUUCUGUAGCAAGGUUAACCGAAUAGGGGAGCCGAAGGGAAACCGAGUCUUAACUGGGCGUUAAGUUGCAGGGUAUAGACCCGAAACCCGGUGAUCUAGCCAUGGGCAGGUUGAAGGUUGGGUAACACUAACUGGAGGACCGAACCGACUAAUGUUGAAAAAUUAGCGGAUGACUUGUGGCUGGGGGUGAAAGGCCAAUCAAACCGGGAGAUAGCUGGUUCUCCCCGAAAGCUAUUUAGGUAGCGCCUCGUGAAUUCAUCUCCGGGGGUAGAGCACUGUUUCGGCAAGGGGGUCAUCCCGACUUACCAACCCGAUGCAAACUGCGAAUACCGGAGAAUGUUAUCACGGGAGACACACGGCGGGUGCUAACGUCCGUCGUGAAGAGGGAAACAACCCAGACCGCCAGCUAAGGUCCCAAAGUCAUGGUUAAGUGGGAAACGAUGUGGGAAGGCCCAGACAGCCAGGAUGUUGGCUUAGAAGCAGCCAUCAUUUAAAGAAAGCGUAAUAGCUCACUGGUCGAGUCGGCCUGCGCGGAAGAUGUAACGGGGCUAAACCAUGCACCGAAGCUGCGGCAGCGACGCUGAUGCGUUGUUGGGUAGGGGAGCGUUCUGUAAGCCUGCGAAGGUGUGCUGUGAGGCAUGCUGGAGGUAUCAGAAGUGCGAAUGCUGACAUAAGUAACGAUAAAGCGGGUGAAAAGCCCGCUCGCCGGAAGACCAAGGGUUCCUGUCCAACGUUAAUCGGGGCAGGGUGAGUCGACCCCUAAGGCGAGGCCGAAAGGCGUAGUCGAUGGGAAACAGGUUAAUAUUCCUGUACUUGGUGUUACUGCGAAGGGGGGACGGAGAAGGCUAUGUUGGCCGGGCGACGGUUGUCCCGGUUUAAGCGUGUAGGCUGGUUUUCCAGGCAAAUCCGGAAAAUCAAGGCUGAGGCGUGAUGACGAGGCACUACGGUGCUGAAGCAACAAAUGCCCUGCUUCCAGGAAAAGCCUCUAAGCAUCAGGUAACAUCAAAUCGUACCCCAAACCGACACAGGUGGUCAGGUAGAGAAUACCAAGGCGCUUGAGAGAACUCGGGUGAAGGAACUAGGCAAAAUGGUGCCGUAACUUCGGGAGAAGGCACGCUGAUAUGUAGGUGAAGCGACUUGCUCGUGGAGCUGAAAUCAGUCGAAGAUACCAGCUGGCUGCAACUGUUUAUUAAAAACACAGCACUGUGCAAACACGAAAGUGGACGUAUACGGUGUGACGCCUGCCCGGUGCCGGAAGGUUAAUUGAUGGGGUCAGCGCAAGCGAAGCUCUUGAUCGAAGCCCCGGUAAACGGCGGCCGUAACUAUAACGGUCCUAAGGUAGCG